UACGUAGGGGGCAAGCGUUGUCCGGAUUUAUUGGGCGUAAAGAGCGUGUAGGCGGCCAAGCAGGUCCGCUGUGAAAACUCGAGGCUCAACCUCGAGACGUCGGUGGAAACCGUUUGGCUAGAGUCCGGAAGAGGAGAGUGGAAUUCCCGGUGUAGCGGUGAAAUGCGCAGAUAUCGGGAGGAACACCGAUGGCGAAGGCAGGUCUCUGGGCCGAUACUGACGCUGAGGAGCGAAAGCGUGGGGAGCGAACAGG
rnacentral:rRNA from 1 species